UGUCAGUCAAAUGCCAUCCAAAGCUUCUCAUUGGUAGCUGAUGCUGGCCCCGCCUCCCCGCGGUCGGUGAGGGGCCGGUGCUGAGGGAGCACUCCCAGAGCGGCUCCGCUCCGGGAGCCGGGCGGGUUUGGGGUUGUGUCCGGACCAGCGAGAAUUGUGGAGCCCUCUCAGACCCCACAGCGACCCCUCCGACACACAAAUCCCCUUUGGAACCCUCCCUGGGGCCGUAGGAUCUGUGAGAGGGGUCGGGGAUCCAGGACGGCGUCCUUUCCGUCCCUAUCAGAUCUUACGGAGAAAGGCAGAUACUACGUUGAGAGGAGUGCAAAGGCGAUUUUAUUUUCUUUUUCCCUCACCCAAACAGCGGUAUCCUCUAUCCAGCGUUCUGUGCUUGUGCCUCUAGUAAUACAAACCACUUUAUAAAUACCAGCCAGAAAACCGUAUUUCGGGUGAGAUGUCCAGAUGUGCGGCUGUUAAGUGGAUUUGGGACUCACCCUGUUCUAAAAGAGUGAAGAGAAGCAAAGUUUAAAAGACCUUGCUCAAGCCUAUUUUUUCAGCUUUGAGGCUUUACAUCGCUUCCUUAUUAGUCCUUAGGUGUCUCAUCAAUGAAUCUUGGUGACAAAAGCCCGGAGGAAGCCAGCCCAGCUCUUCUCUGUCACAGAGCACAAGGGCAAAGCAGAGGAAAAUUACUAAAUCACUGAAGCCAAACCCAUAAAGUAGCAUUUUAAAUCAAUGCUUACUGGAAAAGCCGAUAAGGAACUUUGAUGAUCUAGACUUAAAAGACCACUGAAAAUAUUCUUAUAUCUGUGAAUUGAAUAAUCAUAUGUUUACUUCUGUAUUUCAUGAAAAAAAAAAAAAUCUGCGAUGCAUCUUACUCAUAUCCUUGCAAUACAGGGAGGAAAAAUGCCCUGAAAAGGUAAACCAGCAUGAGAAAUGGUCACUCAAAGUGAGUGCUUGGAAGCAGAGGUUAAGGCUCCCUUCUCAGAACUGCAAGUGCUCUUUCACCCCACAAACCAAAGGACUAUAUUUUAAGGAAAGGCAGGAAACACCAUUUUACGGAUUGAUUGCUUUCUUCCUGCUGAAAUGUAUGCAAAGCUUGAAAAGCAGCUUGCUCAAGGACCUGCCUGUAAGAAAACUAUGUCUUCUGUAUUUAAGUUAGUAGUUCUUUAACUUUAGACAGUUCGUAGACAGAAUCAUAGAAUAUUCAGAGUUGGAAGGGACCCAAAUACAUCGAGCCCAACUCCUGGCCCUGCACAGGACACCCGAAGAAGAGCUGGCUUUGCAAGAUACUGCAAGAAGAGGUGGGAGAGCUGUUGGUUUGGGGGAUGUUAAAGGAAAUGUAGCUGUGAGAAGAGAAGAAAUCCCUGGAAAAACAAAAUAAAACAAACAAAAACCAGCA
rnacentral:lncRNA from 1 species